AUGUGUGUUUACAAACAAGAAUAAUUUUCGACGAGGAUAGUGCAAUUUGUGCCAAGAACAUUUGAAAAAUAUCGGCACAGCAGAAUGGAAACCAGUGCCGUUGGAUGUCGGCUUUGUCUGGAUCCGUUUGCGGAUAAUUUCGAAUCGAUCGCCAACCUGAAGGAACAGAUGGACAAGGUGUUCCAUUUCGUGAUCGACCUGAAACCUGGCUAUUCGGCCACCGUGUGCCAAAGCUGUUCCUACACGGUUUGCGAAUUCUACAAGUACUCGGAAAAAGUACGGAUCAACCAGGAAUGGUUGAAUGGCGUAACUUCGGAUCCGCCUGAGGAAGAUAUAAAGACAGUAUUAAUUCUCGAGGAUGUCAAAACGGAGGUCCCAGCUACGGAUUGUAUAGUGGAAGUCGUUCAAGGAGACAGCGCUCGGGCCGAAGCAGAUAAAAAUCCAAUACCAAAAGAGGAAUCAGAUGUGGAUCCUGAUGAUGAUGUUCAAUAUCCUAGUGAUGAUUCCUAUAAGCCUCCGGCAAAACCAAAAGCAAAACCCAUAAAAAAAGCGCGAAAACGACGCCGGCGUAGUAAAACACCGUCAAGCGAAGAGUCGGAUUCUUUUAAUUCUGACGACGAUGAGGAACUGCGACCAAGGCGAAAGCCAAGAAGUACUAAGACUCAAGAGGAGAGGGAUAAUGAGUCCCAACGGAUUAUGGAGUUUUUUACCUUGACUUGUGAUAUUUGCAGCUUUCUGGCGCGGGACUACAAAUCGUACCUAGAGCAUUUCAAGACGGAGCAUAACCGGAAAGCCUUCAUAGUCUGCUGCAAGAGGAAGCUAGUUUCCAAAAAGUCCCUUAUCAACCACAUCGUUUUUCACAACAACCCGAAUGCGUUCCGUUGCGAUCAGUGCAACAAAUGCUACAAAGACCUCGAAUAUCUGGAGAUGCACAAGACAAAUAAACAUGGCACUCAGAGCCAAGACAAUCCCUUCAAGUGUGACGAAUGCGACAAAUCGUUUCUCAAGAAAUUCAUGUUGAAUGCCCACAAGGAGAAACAUAAAACGAUUCAGUGUCAGAUCUGCAACAAAGUGCUCUCGACCAGCGGUUCUCUCAAUGCGCACAUGGCCAACAUGCACAGCGAAAAGAACCGGACCAUGGUGUGUGACUUCUGCGGGCAGGAAUUCCUCAACAAGGUUUCCUUCGACCGGCACCUAAACGAGCACAACGGAAUCGAAAUUCCGAAGCUGCAGUGUCCGUACUGUCUCAAGUGGUACCGAGGCGAACGGAACCGGUCCAAUCACAUCGAGUACGUACACAACCAGAGGGAGAAGGGCCGCCAGUUCCCGUGCGACAUCUGUCACCAGAACUAUCCUAACGAGCGGGCCAUGAAGAAGCACAAGCGGUACGUGCACGUGGAGGAAAAGUUCGAGUGCGAGUUCUGUGGCAAACGGUUUAAGCAAUCGUUCAACCUGAAGGAGCACCGGACGACCCAUACGGGCGAGGUGCUUUAUUCGUGCGACUACUGUGGCAUUACGAAAAAUUCCCGCGCAAAUCUGUACGUGCACGUGAAGCAGAAACAUCCGACGGAGUGGGCCGCGCGGAAACUACGGCAGGCGGAGGAGAAUGCAUCGUAAGGGGUGUUGGAAAGAAUGGCAACCUCAUCAUCCGUCGACGAUACGUGCCGGUUGUGUUUGGAUCCGGCCGUGGAAAGCUACACCACGAUCGAAAAUCCUGCGAUGAAGAACAUACUGGAGAAUGUUUUCUGCUUUCCGGACCAUUUGACAUCGCAUACGGGAGCGCUGAAACAUUCGUGCGAGUAUUGUGGAGCACCUUAUCGAACGAGGUCGACCGUACUUAAGCACAUCCGGGUGAAACAUGUAGCUGAGUGGGCCGAGAAAAAACAACGUUAUUUGAAGCUG